CCUCGUAGGAGAAAAGAUAAAAUAAAGGGUCACAAAUCACUGGUUUUUGUGGGUUGUAUGAGUGAUUUUCACUCGUCACUUAGGGUUGAAGAUGAAGGAACAAGGCUUUUGCAUGGUCGGAGAAGGUGUCGGAAUAUCUUGUCCAUAGGUUUUGACUCAGUGAUUUCGAAAAUCAAAUUGUUCUUGCAGCAUGAGAAUCUAACCAUCUUUUAUGCAUAGCUGUAAAAGUUGUAAGCAUGACAGAAUCUGAGAGGCUAAUGAAAGAUGAUGGGAAUAUGAGAGCGAGAUCGUGAGCGGGUCAAAUCCUGUUCCAGAUUCGUUGGGUUCUGCUACGGCGAUGUGCGUAGGAUAAAGGCGAGGCGUACACAGAGUUGAUUAAAAGACGUAGAUGAUAAUGUGCGCAUGGCAGGCGUAAUGAGGGUAGAGAGACCCCUGCAACCUGUGCUGAGCGGUCACAUCAACGUCGCUUUUGUUUAGUUAAAGAAAUAUUCAACGACUACCAUUCAUUCACCUCUAGAUUUUUUCCUUUAUUUAUAUCUACAUUUUGUUUUAACAUGUGAUUUAAUAUAUGAAUUUAGAUUUUAUGUAAAAUUUUAAUUUUAAUUU